UGAUGGCCGUCACGUAUAGCCAGUACAUAUUUUUGGGGUUUAAUCCCCAGUUUCUACCACAAAUUCGGCGGCAUGCCCAUAGAGCAUAGCAAGCCUUUUUUGAUGUUUUUUCCAGAUGAGAGGUCCAGCUAAGUUUUUUGUCCAGGUUUAAUCCUAGAUACUUAACUUCCUCCGCAAACGGAAUUGUCUCACCAAGAAGAAUGGGCGGUUUCAGUUUGUCUGUUUUCCUUCUUCUGUGUGCACCAGCCGUGAAUUGCAUCUAGGAUUUCCUGUAUUUUUGAGGAGAUGUCCUCCUCUUUGUGUCCUUUUACUAGGAUCACCAGGUCGUCCGCAUAUGCCUGUGCUUGAACCUCGUAGUCCGAAGUAUACAAGAUAGCUUAAUAGCCGUAGAAAACUCAACUUUAUUAGAAUAUUUUGAAUGGGAAAACGGUAGUAAUGACUUUUAUGUGCCUUAAGUGCUGUUAAGAAGGUGAGUUUUGUUGAUGUAAAUAAUAACUGUUUAUAUAUUUAUAAUUCAUUUAUUUUUGUUUCCUAAAAUAUUUCGAUUUAAAGAAAAUAUAUUAAAGUGGGCAACGCUGUGCUGGUCAAAAAAUAGGCGUUACUCAGAAAUUAUUUAGAAACAAACGAAAUAAAAAUGAAACGUCUACACCCUGUAUCUUCAAAAGGGAGCAAUUUAGGACAUAAUUUUAUACAAACUUUUUGACUUAUUUUUAUCUGCAGAAUACAUUGCUGCAGUUAUUCGAUUAUAAUUCUUACCACCUUGUAUAUUAAAGUAUUCUUCCUUUAUAAAAAAUAAUUCAAUCGAAACAGAUAUUUUAAAAAUAGAAACAAAACAGAAAAAUUAAUCAAACUAUCCUGUGACAAAUGUGUUAUUAUAAUGCCCAGAAUUUUUUGAAUAAUAAGUAAACGUAUCCUGGCACUAUUCCAAAACAAAGCGAACAUUGAGAAAAUUUAAGCGAAACUCGAAAACAUUCAUUUGGUUUGUUCGGUGGUGUGCGGUUAUUCAACAGACACAAAAACAAUGCUUAAAGCCAGGUACAACCCCGUGUAUGGAAACGAAUAUUACUUGGGGGAUACUAGAUCACAUACCUGACU